rnacentral:rRNA from 1 species
CCCUUAGAUGUUCUGGGCCGCACGCGCGCUACACUGACGAAGUCAGCGAGCAUGUCCUACGCCGACAGGUGCGGGGAAUCUUGUCAAACUUCGUCGUGAUGGGGAUUGAUUAUUGAAAUUCUUGAUCAUCAACGAGGAAUUCCUAGUAAGCGCAAGUCAGCAGCUUGCGUUGAUUACGUCCCUGCCCUUUGUACACACCGCCCGUCGCUACUACCGAUUGAAUGGUUUAGUGAGAUCUUCGGAUUGGCGCCACUGUGGCUCAGCAAUGGGCUCGGUGGAUGCCGAAAAGUUGAUCAAACUUGAUCAUUUAGAGGAAGUAAAAGUCGUAACA